AUGACGUCAAAUCAUCAUGCCCCUUAUGUCCUGGGCUACACACGUACUACAAUGGCCGGUACAAAGGGCGGCGAAGGGGUGACCCGGAGACAAAUCCCAACAAACCGGUCUCAGUUCGGAUUGUAGUCUGCAACUCGACUACAUGAAGUCGGAAUCGCUAGUAAUCGCAGGUCAGCAUACUGCGGUGAAUACCGGUUCCCGGGCCUU
rnacentral:rRNA from 1 species